ACGAACGCUGGCGGCGUGCUUAACACAUGCAAGUCGAGCGGAAAGGCCCUUCGGGGUACUCGAGCGGCGAACGGGUGAGUAACACGUGAGUAAUCUGCCCUUGGCUUUGGGAUAACUACCGGAAACGGUGGCUAAUACCGGAUACGACAACCGUCUGCAUGGGCUGGUUGUGGAAAGUUUUUUCGGCCAGGGAUGUGCUCGCGGCCUAUCAGCUUGUUGGUGGGGUAAUGGCCUACCAAGGCUUCGACGGGUAGCCG
rnacentral:rRNA from 2 species